AGCAGCCGCGGUAAUUCCAGCUCCAAUAGCGUAUAUUAAAGUUGUUGCAGUUAAAAAGCUCGUAGUUGAAUUUCGGGGUCAGCAGGUUGGUCGUGCCAAUGGUAUGCACUGGCCUUGCUGAUUCCUCCCUCUUGAUGAGCCGUAAUGCCAUUAAUUUGGUGUUGCGGGGAAUCAGGACUGUUACUUUGAAAAAUUAGAGUGUUUAAAGCAGGCAAGCGCUUGAAUACAUUAGCAUGGAAUAAUGAAAUAGGACGUUCGAUCCUAUUUUGUUGGUUUCUAGGAUUGACGUAAUGAUUAAUAGGGAUAGUUGGGGCAUUAGUAUUCAAUUGUCAGAGGUGAAAUUCUUGGAUUUAUUGAAGACUAACUACUGCGAAAGCAUUUGCCAAGG
rnacentral:rRNA from 1 species